GACGAACGCUGGCGGCGUGCUUAACACAUGCAAGUCGAACGGAAAGGCCCUGCUUUUGUGGGGUGCUCGAGUGGCGAACGGGUGAGUAACACGUGAGUAACCUGCCCUUGACUUUGGGAUAACUUCAGGAAACUGGGGCUAAUACCGGAUAGGAGCUCCUGCUGCAUGGUGGGGGUUGGAAAGUUUCGGCGGUUGGGGAUGGACUCGCGGCUUAUCAGCUUGUUGGUGGGGUAGUGGCUUACCAAGGCUUUGACGGGUAGCCGGCCUGAGAGGGUGACCGGCCACAUUGGGACUGAGAUACGGCCCAGACUCGUACGGGAGGCAGCAGUGGGGAAUAUUGCACAAUGGGCGGAAGCCAGAUGCAGCAACGCCGCGUGCGGGAUGACGGCCUUCGGGUUGUAAACCGCUUUCGCCUGUGACGAAGCGUGAGUGACGGUAAUGGGUAAAGAAGCACCGGCUAACUACGUG
rnacentral:rRNA from 1 species